rnacentral:rRNA from 1 species
UACGUAGGGCGCAAGCGUUAUCCGGAAUUAUUGGGCGUAAAGAGCUCGUAGGCGGUUUGUCGCGUCUGCCGUGAAAGUCCGGGGCUCAACUCCGGAUCUGCGGUGGGUACGGGCAGACUAGAGUGAUGUAGGGGAGACUGGAAUUCCUGGUGUAGCGGUGAAAUGCGCAGAUAUCUGGAGGAACACCGGUGGCGAAGGCGGCAUCCUGGACCAACAUUGACGCUGAGGAGCGAAAGCCAGGGGAGCAAACGGG